GUUCAGAGCAGAGGACAUGGAUGGAGUUAUGCCAAUGCUAAUUUCAGUAUCUAUUUUUAUAACUUAACUGUAAAUCGUACAGUACAGGCCACACACAUGGGCUGUCACAAAAGAAAAUGCACAGUCUUUUUAUUGGAUUACUUUCAAUACCAACUGCAAUUUCCCAUCAACAACUCAGGUAAAAUAUGAUUUCUUUGCAGUUAAGGAUUGUCAAAAGGCAGUACUGGAAUCACUGGAAACAAUAAUUGUUUGCCUCAAAAUCUGCCAACCUCCAACCCAACCUCCUCUUAAGAUCUACUACAUGAUCGGUAAGAUGCCACCAAUACAUUUAAUUAUCUAACAACAAUGUGAGUGAUACAAAUUCAUUUAUAGCCUAUUUACAUUUUGUGUAAAUGGUGCAUCUUGAUGUCAUUUCUUUAAACUGUCAGUCUUCAGUUUUUUUUCAAAUAACAGUCUUUAUGUCCCCAUCAUAUUUAACUCAGAGCACAUAAAAAAAUAGCUUAAACCCAAAAGAAUGAGACCAAAACUGAGGUUAGGCUCUUAAUCACACAGUAUAUCUGUGGUGUGUGCUCUCCUAUGUAUUUAGCAUUCCUGCAUGCAAGUUGCAUUUCUCUUUUCUGUGUUCCUCUUCUCUUUUCCUGUGUUUCUACCACCAUCCAGAAAGCAAACACAUAAAUACAGAAGGGUAAUUACAAAGGACUCAGGGUACUAAAAAUAUUGACCACAACAGUGCUGCUAAGAGAUGCACUGAGAUCUGGUUACACUGGGCCCUCAUUCCAUAACUAACUGCAGGGCUGAAGUGUGCACUACAGAGGCUGAAAUACACAAUAACCUGAAAAG
ensembl:lncRNA